rnacentral:rRNA from 1 species
AUUGAACGCUGGCGGCAUGCCUUACACAUGCAAGUCGAACGGCAGCGGACCUUCGGGUGCCGGCGAGUGGCGAACGGGUGAGUAAUGCAUCGGAACGUGCCAUUGAGUGGGGGAUAACGUAGCGAAAGUUACGCUAAUACCGCAUAUUCUGUGAGCAGGAAAGCAGGGGACCGCAAGGCCUUGCGCUCUUUUGAGCGGCCGAUGUCAGAUUAGCUAGUUGGUGAGGUAAAGGCUUACCAAGGCGACGAUCUGUAGCGGGUCUGAGAGGAUGAUCCGCCACACUGGAACUGAGACACGGUCCAGACUCCUACGGGAGGCAGCAGUGGGGAAUUUUGGACAAUGGGCGCAAGCCUGAUCCAGCCAUGCCGCGUGAGUGAAGAAGG